GGGAGUGAAAUAGAACCUGAAACCCUGCACUUACAAGCUGUGGAAGCACAUUUCUUGUGUGACCGCGUACUUUUUGUAGAACGGGCCAACGAGUUACGUUAAGUAGCAAGGUUAAGCACUUAAGGUGCGGAGCCGUAGCGAAAGCGAGUUUUAACUGAGCGUUCAGUUACUUGACGUAGACCCGAAACCGGGCGACCUACCCAUGAGCAGGAUGAAGCGAAAGGAAAAUUUCGUGGAGGUCCGAACCCACGAGCGUUGAAAAGCUCGGGGAUGACUUGUGGGUAGCGGUGAAAUUCCAAUCGAGCCCGGAGAUAGC
rnacentral:rRNA from 1 species